CGCACCUUGCGCUCCUUGGUAUUCCGAGGAGCAUGCCUGUUUGAGUGUCAUUAAAUUCUCAACCUCACCAACUUUUGUUGUGUGAAGGCUUGGAUUUGGAGGCGUGUGCAGGUCCACACUUUUAGUGGUCUGCUCCUCUGAAAUGUAUUAGUGGGUUAGGCCCCCCUAAUCUAUUGGUGUGAUAAUUAUCUACGCCGUGGAUCUGGGAAAGCUACAUUAGACCUGCUUCUAACCGUCCCUCAUGGGACAACAUUUGACAAUUUUGACCUCAAAUCAGGUAAGACUACCCGCUGAACUUAA
rnacentral:misc_RNA from 1 species